rnacentral:rRNA from 1 species
AGGGUUUGAUUAUGGCUCAGGAUGAACGCUAGCUACAGGCUUAACACAUGCAAGUCGAGGGGCAGCGGGAUUGAAGCUUGCUUCAAUUGCCGGCGACCGGCGCACGGGUGAGUAACGCGUAUCCAACCUUCCGCUUACUCGGGGAUAGCCUUUCGAAAGAAAGAUUAAUACCCGAUGGUAUCUUAAGCACGCAUGAGAUUAAGAUUAAAGAUUUAUCGGUAAGCGAUGGGGAUGCGUUCCAUUAGGCAGUUGGCGGGGUAACGGCCCACCAAACCUACGAUGGAUAGGGGUUCUGAGAGGAAGGUCCCCCACAUUGGAACUGAGACACGGUCCAA